UACGAAGGGGGCUAGCGUUGCUCGGAAUCACUGGGCGUAAAGGGUGCGUAGGCGGGUCUUUAAGUCAGGGGUGAAAUCCUGGAGCUCAACUCCAGAACUGCCUUUGAUACUGAAGAUCUUGAGUUCGGGAGAGGUGAGUGGAACUGCGAGUGUAGAGGUGAAAUUCGUAGAUAUUCGCAAGAACACCAGUGGCGAAGGCGGCUCACUGGCUCGGUACUGACGCUGAGGUGCGAAAGCGUGGGGAGCAAACAGG
rnacentral:rRNA from 1 species